rnacentral:rRNA from 1 species
GAUGAACGCUGGCGGCGUGCUUAACACAUGCAAGUCGAACGGUGAAGCCAAGCUUGCUUGGUGGAUCAGUGGCGAACGGGUGAGUAACACGUGAGCAACCUGCCCUGGACUCUGGGAUAAGCGCUGGAAACGGCGUCUAAUAGUGGAUAUGAGACGUGAUCGCAUGGUCAACGUUUGGAAAGAUUUUUCGGUCUGGGAUGGGCUCGCGGCCUAUCAGCUGGUUGGUGAGGUAAUGGCUCACCAAGGCGUCGACGGGUAGCCGGCCUGAGAGGGUGACCGGCCACACUGGGACUGAGACACGGCCCAGACUCCUACGGGAGGCAGCAGUGAGGAAUAUUGCACAAUGGGCGGAAGCCUGAUGCAGCAACGCCGCGUGAGGGAUGACGGCCUUCGGGUUGUAAACCUCUUUUAGCAGGGAAGAAGCGAGAGUGACGGUACCUGCGGAAAAAGCGCCGGCUAACUACGUGCCAGCAGCCGCGGUAAAAC